rnacentral:rRNA from 17 species
CGUAGUGACUGCGGAGGAUCAUUA